GAUGAAUCGACCUUUAAAGCUCUAAAUGGCUUGGGAACGGGUUACCUGAGAGAGCAUCUUGCCCCAUAUGUCUCAUCCCAGUCUUUAAGAUCUUCUUCAGAGGCCCUCCUCCGGGUGCCCCUACCAAAUGAGAGACUGAUUGACUGGAAAGGUUUCGGGGCAAAUUGUGUCUGAGAGAAAAGGAAUGAGCAUUCCAAACAGAUGCUGAAGAGGAACCCCAGCUCGCCUGUUGUGGAACAGGAGGAGGCUGCCAGGGAGCUGUUUCCUUCUUCAGAUGGGGAGGAGCUGGGACCAAGCAGCAGACCGGUGAGCCAUGUGGUGCGUUGGCGUGAUCGCAGAAAGGAGCAGCGUUUUGUGCAGAGAAGGAGCAGCUGUUUGGCUGAAAAGUCUGAUAGGGGAGGCAUCUG